GUUUAAAUUAUCAGUGCAAAAAAUUUCAAGAUGGUCCACACUACAGGGAUAAGAAGCAGAUUAGUAAGCAUACUGUUUUUGGUUAAUUUGCAAGAAAAUACGGCUCGUGUUUUAAAUAAAUCACCACUUUGUUUAAAAUUGUAGAUGCAUUUCUAAAUCUUUUUUGUCUUGCUACUUGUAAUCUCAAUGUGCAAAAUAAUUUAAUUUAUUUUUUAAACAGCUAAUGAGCUUUUCGUUCAUUCUUUCCCACUUUUCUAUCAGGUUAGGACUUAAAUCGUAUUUUCCAAGGACAUCAUCAAUUAGAAAACCCUGCUUUUUUAUUGUUUUACAUUUGAUAAUAUCCCCAGUCGAAUAAAUAUGAAUAAAUCCAAACCCUUCCUAUUUAAGUUUAAAUGCGAUAUAUCGCAUGGUGGCCGCCUUCCCUAAUCCAGAAUUUGAUGUUACUAAAAUACAACUACAAUUGUUUACUAUAUUCAAGACAAUUUCCGAUCCUUUUGUCUUAUAAAAGGUUUCGUCAUGUU
rnacentral:lncRNA from 1 species